AUUGAACGCUGGCGGCAGGCCUAACACAUGCAAGUCGAGCGAGCGGCGGACGGGUGAGUAAUGUAUGGGGACUGCCCGAUAGAGGGGGAUAACUACUGGAAACGGUGGCUAAUACCGCAUACUAUCGGAUAACCCAUAUGGGAUUAGCUAGUAGGUGGGGUAAAGGCUCACCUAGGUGACGAUCACUAGCCGUUCUGAGAGGAUGAUUGGCCACACUGGAACUGGGAAACGGCCCAGACUCCUACGGAGGCAGCGGUGGGGAAUAUUGCACAAUGGGCGCAAGCCUGAUGCAGCAAUGCCGCGUGUAUGAAGAAGGCCUUAGGGUUGUAAAGUACUUUCAGCGGGGAGGCGUUACCCACAGAAGAAGCACCGGCUAACUCCGUGCCAGCCGCCGCGGUAAUUC
rnacentral:rRNA from 1 species